rfam:Strigomonas culicis Cont7399, whole genome shotgun sequence.
GGAGAGAUGGCAGAGCGGUCUAAUGCACCUGACUCGAAAUCAGGAGUAUGCUAUUUGUGUACCGUGGGUUCAAAUCCCACUCUCUCCG